AGUGCGACGGGAUCGACGGCACGCGUCACCAUCAGGUAGUUGCGGAGCACGAUGGAGUGCCGGUUCUC
rnacentral:sRNA from 12 species